GUGCUUGUUUCAGCAGCACAUAUACUAAAAUUGGAACGAUACAGAGAAGAUUAUCAUGGCCUGUGUGCAAGGAUGACACACAAGUUCGUCAAGCAAAUCCUGCCUUA